rnacentral:lncRNA from 1 species
ACAAAUCUGACAUCCCAGGAGCUUUGCAGUGCUUAUGUCAGGGACCAAUACUAAUACACUGAGAGCACGUUUGAAAUUCUGAGGCUUUCACUUGUUGGAUCAAUUCAAUCUUUGUUAUGUAGAACUGUGUGUGCUCUGCAUGAACGCUUGGUGGUGGAAAAGUGGAGGGCUGCUGAACUAUGAGAUGCAAAAGGCCAGUUUCCAGAAAUAAACUCACAAUGGAUGUUGUGAUUGUCUGAGGAAGAGGACACAGCCUUGCAUCCGGAUCUCAGCCCAGUGCAGAAUGCAUGUACCAUUUGAAGAGAACUCUCUGAGGACACCAUAAAGGCUUUCCAAACUGAGUGCUGCAGGAGAUGGGCAUUGAAUAGUCCGUUGGAGAUUACAACCGGAGCUUCCCUCAUACUCCAAGAUAGAAGUUACCACGUUACACCUGUUAACACUGAACUGGAAGAACUUUCACAACAGUUCAUGCCUUUAAUGAGGGCUAUGGUUGAGAAAUUAAGUUGCCCAACUACAGAUUAAGGUCAUCCCCAGCUGUCUUUGAGUUCAGCCACAACAAAAAGAAGCACAAGAGAAAGCUGCAGGAAAUGAACAUCAUGGGAUUCUUAAUAAUGAGGAUAUUUGUAGUGAGCAAUGUUUUUGUUUUGCUGUCAUGCCCAGGACCUUAUCAUGCUACAUACUAUGUACACCUACUACAAAACACAGCACUUGCCCAUGGCCAGACACACCACGUGAUAAUGCAUGCACAGGGAAUUAACAUCACAUACAUCGAAUUCUUCCUAUGGAAUGAAGUCAAAGGAAAACCUGUUAAGGUUCUGGAGAUAUGGUUUUUUUCUAAGCAGAACUUCAGGCUCACUGCUUGGGCACUGGCCAUGCUUGCUUGUGAUGGAUGUGGUAUUGCCUGCAGCACAUAG